rnacentral:rRNA from 1 species
AUUGAACGCUGGCGGCAUGCUUUACACAUGCAAGUCGAACGGCAGCGCGGGCUUCGGCCUGGCGGCGAGUGGCGAACGGGUGAGUAAUACAUCGGAACGUGCCCAGUAGUGGGGGAUAGCUCGGCGAAAGCCGGAUUAAUACCGCAUACGACCUGAGGGUGAAAGCGGGGGAUCUUCGGACCUCGCGCUAUUGGAGCGGCCGAUGGCAGAUUAGCUAGUUGGUGGGGUAAAGGCCUACCAAGGCGACGAUCUGUAGCUGGUCUGAGAGGACGACCAGCCACACUGGGACUGAGACACGGCCCAGACUCCUACGGGAGGCAGCAGUGGGGAAUUUUGGACAAUGGGCGAAAGCCUGAUCCAGCAAUGCCGCGUGUGAUGAAGGCCUUCGGGUUGUAAAGCACUUUUGGCGGGAACGAAAAGGACUGUGCCAAUACCACGGUUCGAUGACGGUACCCGCAGAAUAAGCACCGGCUAACUACGU